rnacentral:lncRNA from 1 species
AUGUGUCCCAUCUGGGCAAUCUUUAAUAAGAUAAUUCUGUUGUUAGGUUAUAAAGGGUGUUUAAUGGCGGAAAUUAGGAAAGAUACAAAAUAUAAUAUAAUGAUUAUAAUAAUUGGGUAAAUUUUAUUAUAUGCUUUUUAAUUCGGUGACUGGACUAAAGGGCGUGCGAGAAAAAGAACAAAGAGAAAGUUAAAAAGAUGCAGGUUAAAUGUCGAAGAUCACGUGCUUGGUUUAUUUAUUAAUUAUCAAGUUUAUUACAUUCAAAGUUUAGUAAACUUUUAUUACUAAUUAUAGUAAGUUUAUAUUAUUAAGGUGGUAUUUGUUUUUAAAAAAAAAAAUUUGUUUAGGCUCUUUUGUCUACGUCACGCAGACAUUGCAAUCUGCAUACUGUUUUUUUUUCUGAAUACGUUUUAUUAAAAAACGGUUGUGCGAGCUCUUCUUGGUGUCGACUUGGCCAGCCACUUUUAAGAUCUUCUAAGGUCUGCUGAGGGUUAAACGUCCACCACUGUAACGCUCCGCUUUUUCGUAACUUUCCUUAAUUAGAAAGCUCGUCUUGUAUUUCUUUUUUUGGAAACUUGUGAUUCUUGUUAUCGUAUUUUGUUUCGUACCAAUGUAAAUCCGAGACUUCGAUCAUAAUGAAAUGCUAUUUUUU